rnacentral:rRNA from 1 species
UACAGAGGGUGCAAGCGUUAUUCGGAAUCACUGGGCUUAAAGCGCGUGUAGGCGACCCGGCACGUCCGUCGCUGAAAUCCCCCGGCUCAACCGGGGAAGUGGCGUGGAUACGACCGGGCUGGAGGGGGGUAGGGGGAGCCGGAACUUCCGGUGGAGCGGUGAAAUGCGUUGAGAUCGGAAGGAACGCCCGUGGCGAAAGCGGGCUCCUGGACCCCACCUGACGCUGAGACGCGAAAGCCAGGGGAGCGAACGGG